rnacentral:rRNA from 1 species
AUGACUAGAGAUAACCUUAGGAAAAGACAGAUUACCAAACCACUUGACUGUGUUUUCUAUUCUGAAGCUGAAACAUGUUCUCAUCUGUUUUUUGAAUGUGUGGUCUCUAGACAGAUUUCGCCAUUGAUCACAAGGCAUUUUAGGGUAGGUACUGGGUCUGAUUUUGAAUCAGUGGCAAAAUUCUGGAUUGCUAAUAAAAAGCACUCUGCUCUCAACACUAUUAAUGAUGUUGUGCUUUGGUGUCUCUGGAAAUAUAGGAACUCUAUAAUUUUCAAUAACACCUUAUGGACAUCGAUUAAGCAGGAGCUGAGGCUGAUCUUAAAGACUAUCAAGAACUAGGCGAUACUGUCCUCGAACGAGACUACAGAAAGGCUGGAGGCCUUUACAACGCACCACACAACCUACCUGAGGCAACCGCUAAUGAUCAGUGGCUGA